rnacentral:lncRNA from 1 species
ACCGAUGUGACAUCCAAAAAUUUUUUAUCUUCAAUCUAAACAGGGCCAUAAUUCCAUUCAUAAUUCACUGGACUUCUCCUUUCACUCCAACUUGGAAUUGAUAGGGUACGGAGUACAGUACUAACAACAGCACAAAUAUAAUGUUCAAAAAGAAAGAAAGAAAAACAGCACAAAUAUACUAGCUUCAAGCUUCCGCUUUGAUGCUUUGAGGCC